GUAAUGGAAAUUGUAAACAAAGUAGGCAAACUACGAAACUUCAAGGCCUUGUUCGUCUAGCCAUAGGGUUUUACAUUCAGUACAACACCCGAGCUCGUCCAGUGAACAACUCCGUAUUUUCGAUUUCUUCAUAAGUUUUCGGUUAUCUCGCGGAGUUUUUUCUUGUCGUGAAAUUUCGAGCGUCAGAUCAGAUAUUUACCGUCGUAGGCCAGCAGGUCCUUUCUAUCACUGUUAAAAGCUUUGGCUACGUGGCAUUUCUUCGAGAGGAUCACAUCGAAAAACACAAUUGCUUUUUAGUGCAUUCGAAACUCGACACGUUUUGUUAACUCAAAUUUAAGGUUGGCCACAUUAAAAUUUUGAUUCACAUUUAUUAGGACUAUAUGCCUAAGUCCAGUCUUGAAUCUUUACAAUUUUUUCUUAUAAGUGUAAGGGAAAAUUUGAAACUUUAGAUUUGAGACUAGACUUAGACAUGUAGUCUUUAUGAUUGUGAAACAACAUUUAAAUGGGGCCAGUUUUAGAUUUGAGAUAACGAAACUUGCCUACAUUUCGGUAUGGCGACAAACAAUUGUAUUUUUCAGUGGAAUCCUUUCAAGGGAAUUCCACGUAGCCAAUGCUUAUAGCAAGGAUAGAGAGGACCUGCUGGCCUAUGUCGAUAAUGAUCUGAUCGGUCGUUGGAAAUUUUGCGAUGAGGAGGUCCGAGAGGCGCUUAAAAACUUAUCGAUAAUGAGGACUUCGAAGAGGAAGGGGUUCAGGAUGUUGAGCUCCAGUUCUGCGGCUUGGCGGGAACCUGU